CAACACCUUCGGUUAUAUAAUAAAUCUUCUAGAGAACAGCCGAGGUACUUUACUUUCAAAAUAUUUUAGACUCGUCAGUCUAAAAGCCAUUGGGAGAUGUAGAAGGAAAAAGAAGAGAUGGUAUCGAAUUAACAGGAAUGUGAAGUAAGGAAGUUCUAGAUCGGCCAUGCCUCGCUCGACAAAGUUCAAUGUUACUUGUACAAUCGGCGUUAACCCAGAUCUAUUCGUUUGCCUCAACCCUUGCCUCUGCUAUGAAAGAUCACGACGGAAAUGCGAGAAGAAUGAAUCAAUGGGCAUGAUCUUGAAGCAGCUGUCCAAAGAUCAAUUGAAUUAAUCAAUAUUCAUAGGAAACAGUUAUGAAGCGUCGUUAGGAGAGAACGCAUCCGUAAUUCAGUUUCUAUUGCGACAGUGAAUUGUUCGUGGCACUCAAACGGCAAUUAAGUUUAAGCAAUCGUGAUCGUUAAACACACAAAAGAAGCAACCUCGAACGGCAGAAAUACCAUCGAUUCAUUUCAGAUCGUUUACCUGGUCGACGUAAUCGUUGUCACCUCCGUUGUCAUAAUGAUGAUUACCAAAGUCAUUU